UUCGCCUCCUGCUGCUCGUGUAACCGUAUUAUUUUUGCUCUUUCAAAUUUUUUUAUUGUUAUUUUAGAUACUUGCAGAAAUAUUUAAUAGUUUGAUGUGAACUCCCUCAAAGCUUUAACACAAAAUUAUAUGUGCGUUUUAAGCUCAGUUCUCUGUAAAAAAAGUUUUCUUUUGGGGUUCCCCCUUUAUUUGUUGUACAUGGGGCACUAAUUAGCGCUACACCACGCCUGAAAGCUGUGUGCUUUCCCGGGCUAUUCAGUCAUACGGUGACCGCUGGACUGGUAAGAUGCGCAUUCACUCUCUCUCGUGUAAAAGUCCCUCUUUAGGAGCUUAGAGCUCUAUAAAUCUGAUGAAGGAUGUAUUAUAACCUCAUAGUGAAGCUGAAUUGCCGUUCUUAAUGAGAACACAGCGUAAAUAGUGUUUUUAACCCCAGUUUUGUGCCUCAUGAGUUUUUUGCCUUGUGCAGGAGAGGGAGAGAGAGUGUGAGCCUGUCUGCCUGCGUGCGUGUGUGUUAUGCUAACUCUGCCCCAUGUUUUGUGCUCAGUUCCAGCAAUAAAAUCCUGAAGUCUGACUCUCCAUUGUGGUGUGGCUGAUCUCUGAUUGUCCGAACCUGUUUACGUCUGCUACACUCGCGAACACCGCCCGGAAACAAAAGGACAUUUUAAAGUCGUGGAGAAACAAAUAAGAAGCUGCAGUCGCGGGAUUUGGUCAAAAUCUUUCCGUCUCGCCCAGAAUAUCUGAUCAAAUCAGCCGACUGAGUACAAGGGACCGUCUGUAAAGUGCGGGACUGCGUCAACGUUGGUUUGGACCACGUUGAUUUCUACCGGCUGCUGAGACCUCGACGAGAACUAGUUAAGGGGCCGUCUACAAAGUACACUACAGUAAAGUUGCAAGUCGGGUGAAGACCAGCGGGGGAAAAGCACGUUAUUAAAACUCAGCCUUUAUGGGCCACAGAAUGUCUGCCGAUCACAACAUGGAAUUAAAGUUUUAGAAAAGAGCUGUAUUUACUGCUUUGUUAACAAAAACAACAAAUACUAAAUACUAAGUUCACCUGCAUGAUGCACUACAACUCUUAUAUCAGCAUAUAUAAUGUCUGCCAAGCUCUUGUGACAAGGUUAUGUGAAUUAACUUCAAUGACGUUUGAGUGUAGUGAAAAAGUCCCUUAACAGAUUUAAGUAAAGCAUUAAAAAGCUGUUAUAUUCACAGUGGUGGUGAUAGGAACCAGACGUCCACCUCUAAAAGCUCCUCGCAGAAGGUUAUUCCAUGACAUGGUUAUGAAUUCACUGCCUGAUUUUUGUGAUAAAGUUUUGGUGCUAAAUGUAUGUUAAUCGAUUCAUUUUAACCCAUUCAUGGUGGAGGAAUACAUGAGGGUCUUGAGAGGAAAAUCCACAAAGUGUCCACAAAAGAAAUUUAUUAUUUGAACAUUUUCCACUAUUUUACUGCUUAAUAAAAGAAAAUGUAAGAAUAAUUAAACAAAUUUUUCUUAACUUUCCAUAAUACUGUUUACAGGUUGUCUCUUGAGUUUUUAUGUCAAAAUGCUUAAAAUGCCUCAAAACUCAUGAAAUACUGCUUAGAAAGUGCACAUCAAAAAGGCCCAAAGUCAUUUUAACAUUAAUAUGACAUAAUACAGUAACUAACAUUACAUCAAUGAUAAGCUUCUGAGUCUAUUAUCCACUGAGGCCUCAUCUUUUCAGAAAUUGUCACUAGCUGGCGCUGUGGGUCUUUAACAAAUGUGUUUAUCACUGCUAGAAAGAACCAAAAGCUUUUCAUGUCUUUAAGUAUCCCUGUAAAACGCCUAAUAAACUCUACACUGUUCAAAUCCAAUAA